rnacentral:lncRNA from 1 species
AGUGGGCGUGCAGGAGAAGCUGUAGGUCAGGAGGUAGAGUUGGCAGUGGGCGUGCAGGAGAAGCUGUAGGUCGGAGAGGUAGAGUUGGCAGUGGGCGUGCAGGAGAAGCUGUAGGUCGGAGAGGUAGAGGUGGCAGUGGGCGUGCAGGAGAAGCUGUAGGUCGGAGAGGUAGAGGUGGCAGUGGGCGUGCAGGAGAAGCUGUAGGUCGGGGGGUAGAGGUGGCAGUGGGCGUGCAGGAGAACCUGUAGGUCAGAGUGGAGAGGUGGCAGUGGGCGUGCAGGAGAAGCUGUAGGUCGGAGAGGGUGCAGAGUGGAGAACAGAUGAGCUGGAGUCACACCAUGCCCUAUACCCAGCCAGAGGCCGAAGUGAGCCUGUCACGGUAAUGCCACUGCCUGCUUGAUUCCCUCCCAUGCCUAGCCUGGGUUCUUCAUGAUCCCUGAGGCCCUCUUUGAUGUCAUCCCGCUGCCUCAAAACCUGUGUGUGCUGGUGGCUCCCUCUGCUUUCCUUCCAGAUGACUCCUUCGCUUCAGCUCAAAUGUCACCUUUGGCUGUUAAAAUCCUUUCCGGAGGAAGUUGUAAACAAUGCCUACCCCUCCUCCCGA